rnacentral:lncRNA from 1 species
UACACACUGUCCUUUGGCCUGGAUGACCUCAUAUAAAUCCCCUCCUGUUCUAAUUCACUGCCCACAGCCCUGCUGAUAAAAGCAAAGCUCAUCUCUGCCGUGCUGCAGGGAACCCUAUUUCCUUCCCCUGCAGCUCAGCCACCUCCUCCUCUCAGGUCUGCCAGCCAUGAAACUUCUUUACCUGUUUCUUGCCAUCCUUCUGGCCAUAGAAGAACCAGUGAUAUCAGAAAUUGUCAGUCCUGCUGCCUCCAGUCCUACAUGAGGAUAAGCAUUUCUGGCAAAGAGGAAAAUACCGACUGGUCUUAUGAGAAGCAGUGGCCAAGACUACCUUGAGUGCUGGUGAUUACCAUUCUCAAGCUCUCUGGGCACAGAGACCUGCUGUCAACCCCCCUCAUUAAAAUUCAUGUGCCUGCUAC